rnacentral:sRNA from 12 species
GUAGAAAUGGAAGGUAAGGAACUUUCAUCUCUAUAAAAUUUUAUAAGCAUAAGGAGGCUUAUA